rnacentral:rRNA from 1 species
UACGUAGGGGGGCAAGCGUUGUCCGGAAUCAUUGGGCGUAAAGAGCGUGUAGGCGGUCCGGUCAGUCGGUUGUGAAAGUCAAGGGCUCAACCCUUGAAUGCCGGCCGAUACUGCCGGGCUAGAGUCCGGAAGAGGUGAGUGGAAUUCCUGGUGUAGCGGUGAAAUGCGCAGAUAUCAGGAGGAACACCGAUGGCGAAGGCAGCUCACUGGGACGGUACUGACGCUGGAGGAGCGAAAGCGUGGGGAGCGAACAGG